UACGUAGGCAGCAAGCGUUGUUCGGAGUUACUGGGCGUAAAGAGUGCGUAGGUGGUGUCGAAAGUUUGGCGUGAAAUCUCCCGGCUUAACUGGGAGGGUGCGCCGAAAACUGCGAUGCUGGAGUGUGGGAAAGGCAAGCGGAAUUCCUGGUGUAGCGGUGAAAUGCGUAGAUAUCAGGAGGAACACCGGCGGUGUAGACGGCUUGCUAGACCAUAACUGACGCUGAGGCACGAAAGCGUGGGUAGCAAACAGG
rnacentral:rRNA from 1 species